CGGUUUCCCUCCAAGUUGCAGUAUAAAUAAGGGUUUACCCAAAACCUAAAUCCCAUCUCUGUAAUCUCUUCACUCUUCAAUGGCUUUCUGGGGAACCGAAGUGAAACCUGGGAAGUCCUUCACACAUGUACCUCUCUAUGGAAGGCUUCAUAUAUCCCAGGCGACAUUAGGAAUGGGUAGUGGAGUACAGAAAAGCAUAGUUAAAUGUAAUGUUGGACAUAGUAAGCCG